GUGGGGAAUCUUAGACAAUGGGCGCAAGCCUGAUCUAGCCAUGCCGCGUGAGCGAUGACGGCUUUAGGGUUGUAAAGCUCUUUCGUGGGGGAAGAUAAUGACUGUACUCCAAGAAGAAGCCCCGGCUAACUCCGUGCCAGCAGCCGCGGUAAUACGGAGGGGGCUAGCGUUGUUCGGAAUUACUGGGCGUAAAGCGCACGUAGGCGGACUGGAAAGUCAGGGGUGAAAUCCCGGGGCACAACCCCGGAACUGCCUUUGAAACUCCCAGUCUUGAGUUCGAGAGAGGUGAGUGGAAUUCCGGGUGUAGAGGUGAAAUUCGUAGAUAUUCGGAAGAACACCAGUGGCGAAGGCGGCUCACUGGCGCGAUACUGACGCUGAGGUGCGAAAGCGUGGGGAGCAAACAGGAUUAGAAACCCUUGUAGUCC
rnacentral:rRNA from 1 species